rnacentral:rRNA from 1 species
CUCGUAGGCGGUUCGAUAAGUCGGGUGUGAAACCUCCAGGCUCAACCUGGAGACGCCACCCGAUACUGUCGUGACUAGAGUCCAGUAGGGGAGCGUGGAAUUCCUGGUGUAGCGGUGAAAUGCGCAGAUAUCAGGAGGAACACCAGCGGCGAAGGCGGCGCUCUGGGCUGGCACUGACGCUGAGGAGCGAAAGCGUGGGGAGCGAACA